CUUUCCUUUGCCGUCGCUAAAAGUCAUUUGCUGUCGCUAAAAUUUUUUUGAGACGGCAUUAAGAGUAUUAGCAACGGCAUUUUGCCAUCGCAAAAACCUGAAUUUUUUGUAACUUCAGCUUCUCCAAAAUAACCUACCUCCCUAGAGUCACUGCCCUUUAUUUGAAGACUCGGAAUAUUUGAUUGCAGCAAAGCACUUAUUAUGUCAGAGCCAUUCAUAUAAAAAUGACUAUAAUUUUUGUGAAUUCCAUUUUAUAGUUUCCUCAAUUCUGAAACAAGUACAUAGGGAGAUGAAGAUAUAUAGCCAUGGGAGAUAAAAAUUAGACAAAAAACUAUUGUGGCUCACAGUGGGGAAACCCCAGUCAAAGAUUAAAUUAACAUUUUACAGUGAAUUAAACUUAUCAAAAAAUGAGGAAUUAUAUUUUAGAGCAAUCAUAUCCGUAUGAUAAUUCGAUUCUUGCUAGACCACUAAUCUCCUACUAAGAAACAAACAUAAACCCUAAAAGAUCCAUGUACACAAUCUCUUAUAUAAUAAUUGACUAUUAACAUUAUACUCAUGGAGAUUGUGCUGAUUUCACAUGCAUCGUGCAUUGUUAUGUUGUUCAUCUCUCUGCUAAUAUAUUCGAACACAAACACAAUUUCAUAUAUUAAAACAAUGUAAAGGUAUAAAAAUUGCUCAUAAUCAAAAGUCAUAGCUCAAGAUUCAAAGCAAAUGUAUUAAUUAUAUACAAAAUUCUCCAAUUACAAUGAAACAUUCAUCAAAAUUUAGGCAUGGUCCCCUCCCAGCUCUACUGAGCUUAAAACAUUCCUUAAUUUACAUUCUCCAACACUGGUCGGACUUCUUCAUAUGGUUUCCUUCUUUCAAAACAAAAUCUUCUCCAAAUUCGAUAACAUUUUCAUAAAAUAAUCUCUAAAGUUGAAGUCUAAGUGUGUUUCCAAUGUUUUGUACUCAAAAUGUAGAGCAAAAGAUUGUCCAUAUGGGUUUCAUGUGGCUUUGCUUUGUUUGCCCAACAAGUAGCACCCACAACUUCCCGACAAGUGGCAUCAUCACCUCACCCUUUUUUUUUAAUUUUCUUUGAUAAUACAUAAUUUUUUACUAGGUUUAUUUGGAUAGUUACUUUAAAAUGGAGUAUUAUAGUGCAAAAAAUAGAUGAAAGGGAAUUGGGUUUGUUUCUUAAAGCAAAACAGUGAAGAAUUUAGUAAUUUGUCAAUUCUGGAAGUAAAGCAUCAAUUGAAGAGAAAAUAAAGAUAAAAAAGAAAAAAAUAUAGAAACCCAUCUAAAAUGAUUUGUUUAUAAUUUCAUAUGCAAUAUAUAGAAACUCGGAUUUGGGAUUCCUGUUAGGCCCAACAGGGUCUGCUAUGUCUUUCAAUAUGAUCAACUCCAAACCCUAUUCUAUGAUUCGAAUUAUUCAUUUUAUAAAACCUAUUAAGUAAUCUGGUAUUCAUAACCAUAUGAUCCUAUCAUAUCUUUAAAAAAAUUAUCAGCAAAUAUGAAAAAAAAAUGGAUGUUCUUGUAUUUACAAUCUUUGAACAUUUUACAAUAGGUAGGUAGUUCUGUUUUGGAUUCUUCUUGAGGUGACCCUUAAGGUAGCCCCAAAGAGCCCAAAAUGAUCUGAAACACCACUUGCCAUUGGGAAGCAAAGACAAAAUGGGGAAUAGGUUCUACGCUGGGCUUGUUUGGUGCACCUUUCUCAAGUUAAAAUUAAUAAUAAGAAAAUAUAAGUAAAAAUAUGUUUCUCCUAACUCUUAAACAAUAAAUUUUUUCAACUUAUUUAAAUUAUUUUUACUUUAUAAGAUAUAAGAAAAGAAGAAUAUAUAUCAAACACUAUAAUGCAAAUUUUUUAAAUUUAAAAAAAAAAUAUAUAUAUAUAUAAGCAACUCUAUAAGCUACCAAACAGGACCACUCUACUUCACAGAGAUGUGCAUACCACACCACUCAUCAAAUCUGGCAUAGGUUGACUAAAAAACAAAUCUAGUAUAGUCAUGAUUUUUGGUUCCAAAUUGAGUUCUCACCAACUUGUUAGUGACUGUGGGGGCUAGCAUUGCUAGUUUGUCGAGACAUACUGAUGACCCACAUGUUAAAAGCAUACAAAGCCAUCAUUAAAGGCACAAACCCAAUGAAGAAAACAAAAACAAGAAAACAAAAGCAAAGAUCAUAAUCAAAACUCAAAACACUGGGUUUUUAUUUUUGGGUACAUUAAAAGCCCGUGGCUUGUUGAGGAAAGUAUCGUAUAUAGUAAGGCUUCUCUCUUUAAUCUCCUGAUUAGCUCCAAUUGAUUACAUACUUUUGUAUCUCCAAUUGAUUACAUACUUUUGUAUCACCAAGAUAAUAAUGUAUAUCUAAUAUGAAUAAUAUUGGGCAAAUAUAUCAGAUAUAAUAAAACAAACUACAUGGCAUAUAUGAUUUUUAUGUCUAUAAUUAGAUAUAAUGAGCUUAGAGUGAAACAAGAACUGGGUAAUUAGCUUAAUUGACCUUGGGUCUUCUGGGAACUUUUUUCUUUUUUCUUCUUUUUUUUUUUUUUUUUGAGCUUACAUGUUCUUUGGCCUAUUCUAUUUUUAGACUUCAUUUUUCUUGAGCUGGGGGUCUGACAAAAGAAAUAUAGCAUCAAUAGGUGCUUGAUAAGUCUCUCACCUGUAGUUGUAAAAAGUUUUGAUGUCAUUGCACUAAAGUUUCUGAAUUUGACCAAGGUGUUGUCUUCUCUGGGCUACAGUCUUCCAUAAAGUCUUGCUGGGGAGAAACUGAUUCUUGGUGUAUUAUUAUCAGGUUUAGUUUUUCUGAUAUCGAUAUAUUUUGGUAUAUCAGUUAAAAUAAAAUCUAUAUAUUUUUUGAUCGGUAAAAGAAAGACUUUUAUUGAUGAAACCAAAAUGAUACAUAUAAGAAAAACAUCAAUAAAAAAGGCAAGAGCAAAAAGUAUCAAAGUGAAACUUCUAAAUCCUAACUAGAUUGGUACCAAGAAAACCACACAAUCUGCUAACUCAGGCCAAAAGAGUUAGUGAGGAACCAACACACAACACUGCAACAGUCACACUAUGCAGCUUCUAAAAUAAAAUCUAUAUAUGUAUUGGUUGGUAUCUAAUAGGUAUAGAUUCAUCACCGAUACUGCUGUGAUACAGUUAGUUUUAGUUGCUAUAAAACCUUCUUUUUUAUUAUUUUUUAUUUUUUGUUAUGGUUAAUGAUUUUAAAAAAUUUAUGAUUACAACACCUAAUUUUCAAUGUGCACCGCUCAAUACUCCUAAUACUAUUAUGCCACUACUAAUACAUCCCAAUACUACAUUUUAAAACCAUGGUUGGGUCUUAAUACUGUUACAGGGGAGAAGCUCACAGCCUAGAGGUUCCAAUGAUGGUUGGGAUGUAAUGGCACAGAUUUGUGAAAAAGUUAGUUUGGCUUCACAAAAGUGGAACCAAAACUAGAGCCUGAAAGUGAGACUACCACACAACCUAAGGACUCCCAAGAAGCUGAAAUAGUGCUAAGUCAGCUUGAUGGUAACAUGGUGAGACCAAUGGACUCAUUUUCAGAAAUUGAAAGCAUUGAUCAGUCAUCUAUAACUGAUCAAGAUUCUGAGGAAGAACAAGAAACCAGCCCAGAUUGGAGCAACGAUUCGAUUUCCGACGAGGAAAGCCUCAUUGAAAUUGCACUGCCAAGUGGGCACUAUGUUGGUGGUCCUAAUAAGAAAGAAGAGCCAAAGUUCAAUUUGCAGCAGAAAUUUUCAGACUUCUCUCUGAUGGAAAUCCUAGGAGACAUUAAUGAGAUGAAUGAGGAAGAUAACUUGAUAGAGAUUGACAUAUCCAUGGGCUCCAUCAAGUGUUCAAGGUUUGAAAUCGAAGCAUGAUCAGUUGCUCUCUCUUUUCUUUUCUUUUUUUUUUUUUUUUUUUUGGUGGAUUUGGUUUUGUUUUUAAUUAAGAUUAGGGUUUAUUAGGGUAUAUCUGGACCCUUAUAUUCUUUACUCUUUUUGGUGUUAUGGGAGCAGUGAAUUGUGAAGAUUCUGCCCUUUCAUUGACCUUGCCCUAACACAAACCUUGGAUACCCUUUAAAGCACUUGUAGUAUGGCUCUUUAUCUUCUUUUAAAGUUUAAAGGCUAUGGGCAAAUAAAAAAUAAAAUAAAAAUACAUGGAAUUCCACUUA